UUUUUUUUAUAUUUCGCAUACAUAGCAUGACCAGAACCACCGUCGGCACCACAACCAACACCACCAGUGGUGGAUAUUUGGAGAGAUAAGGUCGGCCCCAUCUAUCUAAUAAUAUGGGCCGAUCCCGAAGCAAGGGUAGUGUUUAUUUACUACACAAACAAUUAAUUAUUAUUAAUAAAUGAUUAUAAACAGAAAAAGUAUUGAGGUAAACACCUCAAUACUUUUAAAGAAAACUCUUUAGAUAGUCCAUAAUUUAGAGAGAAACUAAAAUAGUUACAUUUAAUUUUUAUUUCAGAAAAAAAAUGCAAAGUUUUAAAAUAAACAUUUGUUUUAAAGCCUAUCAGUGCGAAUCAAGAUGGCCCAACAGCAAGAAAAUAGUGUAUUAGUAGGUUCUGGCUUAAACGAAGAAAAACGGUUAAACCCUAACCAAAUGGUAAUAAAUGUAUUAUAUCCCACUAUGAACAUUCCUAACGUUGAUGGGAAAUAUGGGAAACAAACAGGUUGAACUAAAGAAUGGUAUGUUGGUGGCGCUCCCCAAGCGGAUGGCUUUAAGCAAUGAAACCAGUGAGAGUAUUUUUCCUAAACAAAAAGCCCUCGUGUGUCGGAGGCAUAAAUACAUUGAAAAAUACAAUGUUUCUUGCCCUCUGCUGCAGAUUGUAGAAGGAGUGGUAAGUUUAUUUUCUUUAAUUCGCUUCUAAGCCUAUUAUUUAAUAAAACUCUACCACUAUCUUUUGCUUUUGAAGUAUUGAAGCCUGGCCGGAGAGUACAGAAUUUUGCUACACGUGUAAAAAAUAUUUUUUGUUUCUGUCAAGAAUCCCUCCAAGCACAUUUUUAUAUUGAGAAAACCACAACAUGUUUGUUAUGCUGUGAAACUAUAUUUGAAUCACCCUCAUAAUUUCCAAGAUAUGUUUUUUAAUUUUUUAUAUUGUUAGCAAGGUGUUUAUGUUGAGCUGUUGGAUUGGUAAAUCCCUGAUAUCCCAUAAAAAAUGGAAAAAUGGAAUAUAGUAACCAUAAAAAAUGGAACCAGAAGUAUUUAGAACAGAAUUAUAUAUUUGUAGUGGUUGUAAAAAAAAUAACAAAAUCAUUAUGGAGAAAGGAUGGCUGUAUAAGUCCAAGUUUCUGAAGUUUUGUCCAUUUUGUUCAGAUUAUAAAAUAUUCAGAUUUGAAUGCGUCAAAUGACUGAAAAUGAACAGGAUGGUAUCCUAUAUUAAUGAUAAUAGAUGUCCUUUUUAUCCCAUUGCGGAUAUUGUUAACGUAGAAGGAAACUUUGGCCGACCAUACCAAAUUUGAAUUAAAUAGUGGUCUACCUACGAAAGAGGAUGACUCUGAGAUAUUUUUUUUUUGUUAAGAGAUAUUUUUUCUGUGUUUCAAACAAUUAAAAACCAAAAAGAAAUGGAAAAGUUACACACAGUAUCAGUAGAUGUAAAUACAAACCAAGAAUAUCACUGGAAACGUUGAAAAUCAACGAAAAAUAUAAGGUUAUAAAAUUUGUAUUUAUAACCUUGUAUUAUUAAAACUGGGUAAUACACUAAAUAUUUAGGAAAGAAGACGAUCGGUGGUUUGACCCUACAUUGACUACAUUAAGAUGGUCGUUGAUGUUCUAUACCCUAUUAACGAUAUAAUCACUAUUGAUUAUUGGCCCUUACGGGAAACAAACCAAGGUAAAGUUGAGAAGUGGUAUGGUUGUAUACCUACCAAAGAGGAUGACCUUAACACUUUUUUGUUAUUAUAAAAGAGGCUUUUUUAUUAUUAUAAAAGAAGAAAGUUUUCGUCGGAACAGUUGCAGCUUAGUACGUACUAGGUAGUUAUUAGAGUUCCUAUGCGAAGGCAGCUAAUAACUGACAGCUAACAGUUUUGUUUUAUUUAAUAAAGCUCUAUCACUGUCUUUUGCUUCAUAAUCAUUGAAGCCUGGCCAGAGAGUACACAACUGUGUUAUACGUGUAAGCAAUAUUUUUAUUUUUGUCAAGAGUUCCUCCGAGAAAAAAUAUAUUUAGGUUUGCUUCAUCAAGUAAGAGUUGAAGUAUUUUUACUCUUCAUUUUUUUCUGUGUUUCAAACAAUUAAAAACCAAAUAAAAAUGGAAAAAUUACACAGUAUCAGUGGAUGUGAAUACAAACCAAAAAUAUCACUGGAAACGUAGAAAAGCAACGAAAAAUAUAAGGUUAUAAAUUUUGUAGUUAUAACCUUGUAUUAUUCAAACUUGGUGAUGAUACAUUAGAUAUUUAGGAAAGAAGACGAUCGGUGGUUUGACCCUACAUUGACUACAUUAAGAUGGUCGUUGAUGUUCUAUACCCUAUUAACGAUAUAAUCACUAUUGAGGGCCCUUACGGAACACAAACCAAGGUAGAGUUGAGAAGUGGUAUGGUUGUAUACCUACCAAAGAGGAUGACCUUAACACUUUUUUGUUAUUAUAAAAGGGGCUUUUUUAUUAUUAUAAAAGAAGAAAGUUUUCGUCGGAACAGUUG